rnacentral:rRNA from 1 species
GUAGUCCACGCCGUAAACGAUGAGGACUGGAUGUUGGCAGGGGAACCUGUCAGUAUCGAAGCUAACGCGAUAAGUCUUCCACCUGGGAAGUACAACCGCAAGGUUGAAACUCAAAUGAAUUGACGGGGGCCCGCACAAGCGGUGGAGCAUGUGGUUUAAUUCGAUGCAACGCGAAGAACCUUACCUACCCUUGACAUCCUGCGGAUCCUGGCGAGAGCCGGGAGUGCCGAAAGGAGCGCAGAGACAGGUGCUGCAUGGCUGUCGUCAGCUCGUGUUGUGAGAUGUUGGGUUAAGUCCCGUAACGAGCGCAACCCUUGCCCCUAGUUGCCAGCAUUGAGUUGGGGACUCUAGGGGGACUGCCGGUGAGGAACCGGAGGAAGGCGGGGACGACGUCAAGUCAUCAUGGCCUUUAUGGGUAGGGCCACACACGUGCUACAAUGGGGCGUACAGAGGGCCGCGAACCCGCGAGGGGGAGCCAAUCCCGCAAAGCGCCUCGUAGUCCGGAUUGGAGUCUGCAACCCGACUCCAUGAAGCUGGAAUCGCUAGUAAUCGCGGAUCAGCACGCCGCGGUGAAUA